UGAUUUACAAACGUUUUAAUUAGCCUAGAACUUUUCAGAAACCCAUUGAUUGUGGAGUGAGGUACAACAGGACAUAACCAUUUUUAAUCUUCCAUAACAAUGACAGCAAUUGCAGUGGUUUUCUCCCAAGAGGCCUCCCUUAAGAAUUACUGAACUUGGAAUCCAGAGACCAAGGUAAAUAUUAUUACCUCUAU
rnacentral:lncRNA from 1 species